AUCCAGUUCCUUUUUUACAGUGAUUGGGUAAUUGUAGUAAAUAUCAUAAAAUGUACUAUUUUAACCAGUUUUUAGUGUACAGUUCGGUGGUGUUUACUACAUUCACACUGUUGUGAAGCCAUCACCACCAUCCAUCCAUGUCCAGUUUAUUUUUGAUCCAAAGCUGCUGCACAUUUCCAUAGAGGACAAGAAACUUGUGCUUCCCUCCCCAGGAGGAAAAACUAGAAUAUUUCUGACAGCUUCUCUAUCCUUUGCUCCCCUCUCCAAGGGUAGGUGAAUGACUAAGCUGAUGAUUUGGAAGAAGGACUGAGGUUUAGCCUUUUCUGGGUUUUCUCUUUCACAGCAUCUUGCUUCAGGACACAUACAUUUUCUGCUCCUCUAACCAGUAAACUUACUUAGGCAGAUCUUCCCUCUGCACUGGAAGGCCUGCAGAUCUGAGAAGGUGAGGACAAUUUGGGAAGAAGGUGUGGGAAGCUCAUUUGGGGUGGCUCAGAAAGGUAAGCCCUAAUGUGUCCAAGACUGAUUCUCACUCAUCAGCCUUCUAGAAAAGGAGCUGGAUGCAAAGCUCCUUGGAAAUGAAUUAUAGCUGUGGGUGGAAGGCAGCCAAUCCCAGUGAAUCCCAAGGGUUGGACCUAGCCUCCUGAGCAGGCCAGGAGAAAGGCAGUGGCUUCCCAAUCAUGAAUGCUGGGGGAACAGGUCAUGCUAAUGUGAACCCAGAAAAUUUGAGACAGGUCUCAGUUAAUUUAGAAAGUUUAUUUUACCAAGCAAGGUUGAGCACACGUGCCUGUGACAGCCUCAGGAGGUCCUGACAUGUGCCCAAAGUUGUCAGAGCACAGUUUGGUUUUAUGCAUUUUAGAGAGACAUGAGACAUCAAUCAGCAUAUGUAAGAUGAACAUUGGUUUGGUCUGGAAAGGUGGGACAACUCAAAACAGGGAGCGAGUUUCCAGGUCAUAGGUAGAUAUGAGACAAAUGGUUGCAUUCUUUUGAGUUUCUGAUUAGCCUCUCCAAAGGAGGCAAUCAGAUAUGCAUUUAUCUCAGUGAGCAGAGGGAUAACUUUGAAUAGAAUGGGAGGCAGGUUUGCCCUAAGCAGUUUCCAGCUUGACUUUUCCCUUUAGCUUAGUGAUUUAGGGAGCCCAAGAUAUUUUUCCUUCACACUGUGAAGUUGCCACAGUACACAGCAGCAAUGGCCAGGCAUAGACCUAGCUUUCUGGUUAUGCAAUGGGAGGAGCUCAUGUUCCUCCAGCCACAAUCCCUGAGCUGCCAUGCCAGAACCUUAUAUUAUCCUUAUACUGUACUGUGACCUCUACUUACUCCAGAGGAGGGCUUGGCAUUUCUUUAUUAAUGCAGCUUUAAAAUUUCUCAGCCCAAAGGGCAGAGUCCCUUUCCUGAAAGUUGAUGUCUGAUUCCACCGAUCACUUUGUUCUUCUUUAGAAGGCAGUGGGCACUGGGGAUCCACACACCUGCUGCUAUUCUUGUCUUUGUGGUCUCCCCCAGGAAUAUUGCCCCAACAGAGCGAGUGUGUCUGCUGUCUGGUUGUUUACUGUGUGUAUAUGACAAUUUCCAAGCCAGUGCUAGUAGUAAUAAAGUUGACGUUUUCAUCUUUAGUCUCCUGUAUCUAAAUCUCUAAAGGUUCCAAAUUCAGGGAGUGGAGAUAGAGGACUGACUUAUCAUCACCUGCUUAAACACUAAGAAUUUUUUCAUUAAAUUGCUAAACUAUGACUUUGGCUACCACCUGCUCUUGUAGAGUUUCCCUCAGUUAUUUCAGAAAAUCCCCUAUGACAGACUCUUAUGUUUAAUAAUGAUACUUCAUGCCCUUGCCACUACUGCCUGUGGUCCCAAGGGAUCACUGCCCUGUGGCGCAUGGUGACAUGUAUGAUGCUUUUACCAUUCAGGCCUCAGGAAAGGGCUCUGCUCUGCCCUUCACCACCAGGACCCAAACAUGUCCCAGGCAUGUUCUUCUCUCCCUACCACCUUGCUUAGGCCAGGCUGAAAGUGAAUUGAAAUGGACUCAAGGGUUGGGGAAGCACAAGAAGAGAACUUAGAGAACUUAGAUGUGAUUUCUCUGAAUCUGCAGGCCAACCCACUGCCUUCUGCCUAAAUGUUGACCUGCUUACAAAGUACACGCUCAUGCCCACCACUGAAAGUACUCAAAGCCUGAUCAGGCUCAUCACCAGAGGCCCACAGAAAGAGAUGAGUUUCUCCUCCUCUCUAGUCUGUAGUCUACCUUCUCAAUCCUUACUUCCUGUCAUAGGAUCUACUUCUUCCCAGGGCAAUUGACAGUGGUGAUGUUCACUCCUUUCAAGAGAAACACCACCCUCCGUCUAUUGGGGUUUUACAUGUUCCUCUGUGCCCCACUCCCUACCAGGCAAUUGAAUGAUAACACAUUGGUCUAAUAAUGGUACUUUCUAGGCUAAUCUCCAGCCUCUUGGGGUAAUAGUAGCUGCAUUUUAGAAAGUAGUAUUUAUUUUACAUUUUCGUACUGUAGACUUCUUGAGAUGAUAUCCCUAAAAACAGAAGUCUUUAUCUUUCUAGUUUAAAUUUCUAUAUUUUGAAUGACUGAAAACUACUUGUGGCUUUAAAUGUUCUGUUUGUCCAGGCUGUAUUAACUAAGUUCCAAAAAAUCUCAACCUGGAUACCGCAUUACAUGCUAAUCACAUGCUAAUCCAAAGUCUUUAACAUCACUUGCAAGGCAUAACCUAUUUGGGCUUAUCCCACCAACACAUAUGAAUGCAUCUCCCAUCAUCUCAAACACACAUAUCUCUCCUCAGAUCCAGGCACAGUCCUCCCAGGAGAAGCUACACUUGCACCUUUACUCAUGCCACCCUCCUAUCUGGAAUCCUCCUCAUCACUCGAAAUUUCCCCCAUUUGAUGAAGUCUUUUAAUUUAUUCCUUUGGAUUCCUACAAGGCACUUCUCAUCCAUCCAACCCAUCCACCUACUCAACAGGAGCGCAUUGAAGUCCUAGAGUAUGCAAGAUGCUAUGCUGACUCUAUGGGGUUUCCAUAAAUGUAUAACACACAGGGCCUCCCCUAAAGAGUUUAUAAUUUUGUAAUAAAGUAUAGAAACAGCAAAGUCAUGUUUCCCUUCAAGAAUACCUCACAUUUCUUUUCUCACCUCAAAUCUUUAUUACUCCUUCUCCUGUGCCCCAUCCCCGAUAGUCAGAAUAGUCAUUUUGUGAUUCCAAAUUCUCUCCAUGUUGUAUAGAGAAAAUGGAUCAGGCAAAGGCUUCCAUUCAAACUCUAGAUCAUUCUGCAAUUAUCCCCAUUCUUUCCUGCAAUAUCAGUUUUUCCUUGCUAGUGGUUCAUUUCCAUUUGCAAAUAAAUAUGCUUAAUAUUAUUCAUUAAAAAACCAAAACCAAAUUCACCCCUUGGACCCACACCUCCUCCAGCUCCUACCACCCUUUUCUGUUCUUCUUUGCAGCCAUACUUUCAAGCAGGAUGAAUAUAUCCACUGUCAUUGCUUCCUUUCUCUUUUUCUUUUCCUUUUCUUCUUCUUCUUCUUUUUUUUUUUUUGAGACAGAGUCUUACACUGUUACCCAGGCUGGAGUGCAAUGGCGUGACCUCGGCUCACUGCAAUCUCUGCCUCCCAGCUGGGCUUGGCCUGACUGACUCCCCUUCUUCCAUGGAAUCCUUUAUCAAGGUUUCUGGGCUACCACCUGCCUAGUUUCCCUCCUAUGGCAUUGCCUGCUGCUGCUUGGCCCUCUUUGCUGAUUCUGUUUUUAUACUAAAUUUCUAAAUGUUGAAGACCUCAGAGCUUUGUCAGGAAUCCUCUUCUCUUCUUUUCCUUCUCUAUAAACUCUUACCUUAGGAAUCUUCACAGUCUCUUAAAGUUAUGCACUAAUUAUACCCAAAACUUACAUGUCCAACCCAGAACUCUUGAGCUCCAGACCCAUUUAUCCAACUGCCUACAUCCAUUAAGAUGGUAAAUGGACAUUUCUAGCUUAACCAAGCCAAAAAAGCCCUAUUAAUUGCCCCCUACAUUACAUCUCCCCAAACAACAACAAUCAUUUGCUCCAUGUCAAGUCUUUCCUAUGUUAUUAAGUGAUGACACUUGCCAGGAGCAGGUCCAGGUUUUAUGGUCCUGAAGCUUAAACAAUUUGGGGAGCCCUCUUUCACAUAAAAAAUACAAAAUUUAAAUACAUAUUUAGUAUGAAAGUAUUUGUUUAGUCUGAGAAAAGGAAACUACAAUGAAUUACAAAUUUUUAAUUACUGAAAAAUACCACAAUAAUCACAAAGUCAAGCAAGAUAAAAUUAAAUUUUAUUAAUUACCUGCCUGACAACUCUCUAUAAUACCUAUAAUACUUCUUUCCUACCCUUUGGCUGCUUGCUCUUUGAUUGCCUUUUUGUGUUACAACAAUUUUAUAAUAUGUUCUAUAGCAAGAAAAGGAUAAAAAUUUAGAUCACGUCUCUUGCAAGGUUAAUAAAAAAUUCAUUUAAAAAAAUUAUGGAUAGUUUCAAAACAUUAAUUUUAGCUUCACAACUCCCUACUGGCAUUAUUUAAAUAAAACAUACUUAAGACUAGAUAGUUGCACACUUUGGACUGAUCAGAACUGUGUCAAUAAGAGUUGUUCCUUGAAAAUGGACCUCAUUUUAAGAAGGUUUAUUUGGCAGUUUUCAGUGCCUGGGGCAUGUAUGGUGAUAUGGAAAAAUGGCCCAUGAGUAGGGUCCAUAUCACUGCUUAUCCAGGUAGAUUUUCAGACUGGAGUUCUUGAUCACUUAGUGUGUCGUCCAAAAUAUCUGCCCAGCACUUCAGUUUAUGUUUUUUUUUUAAAAUAUGUCAUAGACAUGAUUAAGCAAUUCCACCUCUAGAAUUUAUUCUACAGGUAGAUUAUUUUUCUUUCUUCACACUGCAUAUGCAACCCAUCAGCAAUUCUCGUUGGCUUUUUCUCCAAAUGCUUUCCUAAAUUGAGUUCUUCUUAUCAGCCUCAGUGUUGUCCCCUGUUCUAAGCUGCAGUCACUUCCCUCGUGGAUGACAGCAGUAGUCUAUAGCUAUCUUGCAACUUGCUAGCUUAUUUUUACUUCCCUAUCAUCCACUGCCCCUACCUCACAGCACCCAGAAAGAUAUUUCUAAAGCAAAACUCAGCUCUUGUCAUUCUCCUGCUUAAAACCUCAGAUGGCUUUGAAUCAUGCUGAAAAUAAUGUGCAGCUCCCUCAGGGCCUCAUAAAUAUGGCCUUGCCCAUUUCUGGACCUCACUUUCUUCCACUCUUCCCCUUGGUCAUCAUGCUCCAGCCCCACAGAUCCUCUUUCUGCCACUCAAACAUGCCAAGCUUAUUUCCAACAGGACCUUUGCACAUGCUGUUCCUCCCACUUACAACAUGCCUGACCAGCUCUGCAAAACAACUAUGCUCAUCCUUCAGGCUCAGGUUAGGCAGCCCCUCUCACAGGGGCCUCUCUCAUUGCCUUAUCUCACAUAGCACUCUCCCUCCAGGUUUUUACCAUAUGCUUCCUUUUAUAGCAUUUUUUUUUUAGUAUCAAGAAGUAUCACAUUGUAUAUAUUUUUAUACAUUUUUGUCUCUACGAGAAUAUUGGCCCUCAAACUGAGAUACACAGGCCUCCUGAGGUACAUGAGGCCUUUUAAGGAUAUAAGGGUAUAAAGAAUCAGUUUUAAGGGAAUCUUUUUCCAGAUACCUAAUUUCCGUAUGAAAUUUACCUGCAAUGGAGACAUUACGCUGGUUCUCCAUUUCCCAUUCCCCUGUCACAGUCGUGCUUCUCUUAUGAACAUGCCACUCACUCAGCCUGAACUUACUGUGGGUAUAAAAAAGUCUAGGGCUGGAAAAAUGGGGCAAUUAAAAAUAAAAUAUUUCAAAAGUAAAUGACUUUAAUGACAGGAUUUUAAAAAAAUCUUUUCCCAAGCAUUAUGGUGUUUCCCAAGCAUUAUGGUGUUUAAUGAUUUGCUUCAGGAAAAUUA
rnacentral:lncRNA from 10 species